GCUCGGCUCCCCCUUGGCCGGCGACAACCGACCGCGCGGCCCCCGCCCCUCGCGAGCCCCUGCUGGCGAGGACCGAGGUCAGAUGAUCCCCCAGCGCCGAUCCAAUUGGCUUCUCAGGAAAGAAGGGCCCGGCUAGUUGUUGGCGAACAAAGGACCUCCCUCCCCUUCCCUAACCGCCGGACUUCCCCACCUGCUAGGCCCUCUGCCCUCGUCUCUCCUCCAGCCCCUGCUCGGCCGGCCCUCCGGCCGGGCAGCCAGCCUCGCGGGUCUGAGGCUUGAAGGACCGACCUUCCCCUGACACGCCCGCCCACCUGGGUGGGGACCCGAGGAUCCGCCCCCAAUUCCUGGCUGGUGGGAGCCUGCACGCGUGGUGGGGCCGUCGUCAGGUGCAGCUCUGCUUUACGCCCCAAGUUACAGAUGGAGACAGCUAAGAUCCGAGAUGCUGCUGGUUUACUAGAAGGCAUACCGAAGAGGGCAUCCGGACGUGGUGCUGACCGUAUUGAUGCCUCUGUACCUGGGAGGAGCUCACCUGGCUUCGCUGGGCUUCAUUUGCCAUCUGAGGGAACUGGAAGGAUCUCUAAGGUCCCUUCCACCUCUGGAGCUGAGCCCCAGGAAUUUGUCGGAAUCCAGUGAGAAGAGGCAGAGCCUCCCAGACUCAGGAACACAGCAAUGUGACACCUGAUGAAAAUGUAACAGCAGAAGAUGAAGGCUGAGAAUAGACGAGGGAACCAAGGAGCACACUUGUUUUUAGCGAGCUCUCAGCCCUGCUCAGCAGAGGGGAAAUCAAACUCUGGAACGUAAAUUUUUUCAGUGGUUGGAUAGGGAUCACUCACACGUGCACGUACACACACACACACACCCCCCUCCUUGUCCCUACUGUAGAUCUGUGAGAGGCUGAAGGUCUGAUGUUUAUAAUGGUGCACACAGAACUGGAGAAAACAUUGACAUCGUCAGUGAUUUGAUUCUGCUCGGAUCAACAGUCAACGUCUGUGGAAGCAGCAUCGAGAAAUGAAAUGAUGUAUUCCGUUGGACAAAUCUGCUGCAAAAGAUCUCUUUAAAGUUUUAAAAAGCACAGAUGUCACUUUGAUGACUAAAGUGUGUUUGACCCAAGUCAUGGUCUUUUCACGCAUGGUUCCGUCAUGUGCAUUCAAAAGCUAGACAAUGAAAUAGGAAAAGAGAAGGAGAAUUGAUGUGUUUAAACUGCAAAGUAUAGUAAGUAUAGUGUGGAUUGCCAAGAGAAUGAACAAAUUAGUCUUUGAGGAAAUGCAACCAGAAUGAAUGUUCCUUACAAGCGAGAAUGCUGAGACGUCAACUGGCUUGUUUUGGACACGUCAUCAGGAAAGAGCAACCAUUAGAAAAGGACAUCAUGUUUGGUAAAGUAGAGGGCCAGUGAAAACAAGAGAGACCCUUGAUGAGAUGGACUGACGCAGUGGCCACAACGGCUGACUCAAACAUACGAGGAUGGCACAGGACUGGGCAACGUUCCCUUCUGUGAUAACCAAGGUUACCAUAAGUUGGAACCCAGUCAACAACAACAACAUAUACAGACCUAAGGCAUUCUUUUUAACUGCUGCCUGAUAGGCCAUUGUAUGGGUGAAUUCUGUAUAAUCACUGCCCCUAAAGGAGAGGGAAGGGGCUGGAGAGGAGAAGACAAUGGCCCUCUUUAGCUGUAUCCUUCUGAGAAUUGCCUUUGUGAAGUUCGGGAAGUUCACUCAUUUUCCAAGGGUUUCUAAUGUUGCCAAAAAUAUAAAUAUAAAUAAAUAUGCCACAAAAUAUGUAAGAAAAGACAACCGGUUUUCAACAAUGGGGUGGGAAUGGUGAGUUGAUUGUGAAAUAGUGACUGCACAGUACCUAAGGAAAAGACAGAUAUUUCUGUAUCUAAACUGGGGACAGAGAAACCCAUCUUCUUCCCUCUUGACUUGUGAGCAUAUCCGCAGUAACAUACUGCAAGGCUAGAAAGUCACCAUAUUUCAGGAAAAGAGAUAAAACACCUUAUUGCCUUAGGAUCCUAAGUAAUUGCUCCUUUCUUACGAUAUUAUCUUGUCCCACCCUUGUGCAGCAUGCUAAAAUAACCAAAAAAAUAAACCCAUUGCCGUGGAGUCGAUUCCAACGCAUAGCAACCCUACAGGACAGAGUAGAACUGCCCCACAGGGUUUCCAAGAAGCACCAGGUGGAUUCGAACUGCCAACAUUUUGGUUAGCAUCCCGUAGCUCUGGUGCGGCAUGCAGCAGUUUUAAAAAAGAAAGUUUUUCAGCAAAUCAUAGUCAACUUUGCAAAAUUCAUUUGCUCUGAUUUUACAUCGAGAGAACGAGAGGUUGCACACACAUGUUCUUUGCAGCACUGUCUACAAUAGCAAAAAGAUGAAAGCAACCAAGGUGCCCAUCAGCGGAUGAAUGGAUAAAUAAAUUAUGGUAUAUUCACACAAUGGAAUACUACACAUUGAUAAAGAACAGUGAGGAAUCUGUGAAACAUUUCAUAACAUGGAGGAAUCUGGAAGGCAUUGUGCUGACUGAAAUUAGUCAGUUGCAAAAGGAAAAAUAUUGUAUGAGACCACUAUUAUAAGAACUCCAGAAAUAGUUUAAAUAGAGAAGAAAAUACUCUUUGAAUGUUAU